GUAUUGAUUUUAAGACAGAAAGUAAAGGUUUUUUAAAUAACUUUAUACGAGUAGAAAUUCAUCUAACUGUUAACAAAAAAAUAUUGAGGUUUACUUAAGGGAAAUACUGUCUGAGCAGACAAGAAAACAUUGAUUCUAUUGAGCCAUUUUUCCAGUCUUAUUCGUAAUGCUGGUCUCUGGUCAAAAGCUGGCCAAUCCCUUAUUUUCCCUCCUUGUUUUUAUUCAUUUCUCUCCUUCACACAUUCUGAAAUCUAGUCAGACCAGCCUCGAUGUUUCUUACAUGCCUGCUAUCUCUGUAACUUUGCAAUGUCUGUCUCCUGUUCCUGGCACGCACUCCCUCCCCAUUUCUGCCACAUAGAACACCUUUUAUCUCCUCUCUAAAAAAAUUCAGAUACCAACAAUGUGAAACUGCCUCUGAUUUUCUCAGCUACUAGUACCCUCCCUGAAAAUAACCAAAACAGUCAUGUAUUUAUUUUAUGUAUAUUGGCAGGUUGUCUCCUCUAGGAGAAUAUAAUUUUCUUAAAGGUAUGUUGUGUUUAUUUAUUCAUUUCUCUCUCUCUCCUCUCUUUCUUUCUCUCUCUUUCCUUCUCUCUUUCCUUUUCUUUCUUUCUUUCUUUCUUUCUUUCUUUCUUUCUUUCUUUCUUUCUUUCUUUCUUUCUUUCUUUCUUUCUUUCUUUCUUUCUUUCUUUCUUUCUUUCUUUCUUUCUUUCUUUCUUUCUUUCUUUCUUUCUUUCUCCCCUCUCAAGUUUCACUUCAAAAAACAAUUGUUCAUGGAGCCCCCAAGUGGAAAUUUUCUCUCCCUUUUAACAUUUCUUUCUUUCUUAUAGAAGUUCUGCUCUUUGAGUCCUACUCAGUCCCAGACUCCUCUCACAGUCCAUACCUAUACUUUUCCUAUCUCUAGCAUCUUUAUCUCCUGGUACAUUCUGUUUUGAAUUAUAAAAAUUCAGGUACAUGUCUUAUCUCUCUUACUGAUUUUUAGUUUUUCAAUUUUAAAAUGUGGGGUUUGGAUUCCAGUGAUGGCCUCUGAGGUUCCUGUUGGUUGAAUUUCUAUGUUUUCCAUCCCAGAGGGCAGGGGCUGUGUUAUUUUCACCUCUGAAUCUUUUAUCAAAUCUAUUCCAAUGCAAAGAUAUAAUAGAUGUCCCACAAGUGUUUGUGUUCUAGUGACAUUGGCCUACGUAAAGUGCCUUGAACACUAUCCUGUAUUUUUACAUUAGGCAUCCCCAGUACCUACAAUGCUCUGCUUUUCUCAUUUUCAUUUCAAGACUCAAAUCCCACCUAUUCUAGGAGGACUUUUCUGGAUCCUCAGCUACUAAUGCUUCUCCAAUCAGAUUACGUCCCAUCUCCUCUGUAGAUCUCUUCUGUCUACCUAGUUGUUUACAUGUUGUUUAUCCCUUUAGAAUGUGAGCUCCUUGAGGACAAGGACCAUGAUGUUGUCUUUCUUUAUAUACCAUAUCUUAGCACUAUGUGAUUGGCAUAUGGAAGUGCUCUCAUUUUUAAACGCUUAUCUUCUGUCUUGGAAUCAAUAUUUACAAAUCAGUCCCAAGGCAGAAGAGCACUAAGGGUAGACAACAGCCUAGUAUUAUUGGGGUUAAGUGACUCAUCCUAUCAGGGGGCAGCUAGGUGGCUCAGUGGACAGAAAGCCAUGCCCAGAAAUGGAAAAAUCUUAGGUCUCUAUCUGGGAUCAGACACUUCCUAUCUGUGUGAUCCUGGGCAAAUUCAUAAGUGUCUGAGGCUAGAUUUUAAUCCAUGACCUCCCAUCUCUAGGUCUGGCUCUCUAGCCACUGAGCUACCUACCUGCCCCACUGUAGUAAGCUCUUUUUUUUUUUUAAACCCUUACCUUCCAUCUUGGAGUCAAUACUGUGUAUUGGCUCCAAGGCAGAAGAGUGGUAAGGGCUAGGCAAUGGGGGUCAAGUGACUUGCCCAGGGUCACACAGCUAGGAAGUGUCUGAGGCCAGAUUUGAACCUAGGACCUCCCGUCAGGACUGGCUCUUAAUCCACUGAGCUACCCAGCUGCCCCCUGUAGUAAGCUCUUAAUAAAUGCUUGAUGACUGAUUUUGUUGUUGUUCA
rnacentral:lncRNA from 1 species